rnacentral:rRNA from 1 species
AGUGAACGCUGGCGGUAGGCCUAACACAUGCAAGUCGAACGGCAGCACAGUAAGAGCUUGCUCUUACGGGUGGCGAGUGGCGGACGGGUGAGGAAUACAUCGGAAUCUACUUUUUCGUGGGGGAUAACGUAGGGAAACUUACGCUCAUACCGCAUACGACCUACGGGUGAAAGCAGGGGAUCUUCGGACCUUGCGCGAUUGAAUGAGCCGAUGUCGGAUUAGCUAGUUGGCGGGGUAAAGGCCCACCAAGGCGACGAUCCGUAGCUGGUCUGAGAGGAUGAUCAGCCACACUGGAACUGAGACACGGUCCAGACUCCUACGGGAGGCAGCAGUGGGGAAUAUUGGACAAUGGGCGCAAGCCUGAUCCAGCCAUACCGCGUGGGUGAAGAAGGCCUUCGGGUUGUAAAGCCCUUUUGUUGGGAAAGAAAAGCAGAAGGUUAAUACCCCGCUGUUCUGACGGUACCCAAAGAAUAAGCACCGGCUAACUUCGUG